rnacentral:tRNA from 1 species
CUCUGGGUGGCAUACAUGCUUAAUGCACUUGGCUGCUAACCAAAAGGCUGGAGAUUCGAAUCCACCCAGAGG